CGUGCUCUCCACCAUGAUGGUCAUAGAUUCUAACUAACUCUCUGAAACACUAAGUCCAAAGAACUCUGCCUUCUGUGAGCUGCCUUCUCACAGCAAUAGAGAGAUAACUAAGACAUUACAGAAGAGCGCCACUCCCCUUAGCUGAUUAAAGGGGAUUGCUAAGUUUCUGGUGAUGAGGAGCUGGUGAAGAGGCCAUGAAGUCACAUAAAAGAGGGAGAGGGUGAGCGCCCCCAGACACAAUGGGUCCUGUCUCUUUGCGGCAAACAGCCAGAAUAACACUUAGAUGAAGACUCAGGCUUUGCUCAAGAGGAGGCGGAACUGUCCAGCUGGUCUGUCUGUGUGUCAGUGUAGAUCUGGCUGUUAGUGACUGUUAGCCAUAGACACCAUCUAGAACUAUGCCCUACCCCCACAGGCUCACUGGAACUCUGCACGCUGCUCCCUGGAGGACACAGAGGGGAGAGAUCAGCUUCCUCCAUCUCAGCCAAAGGAAGCUGGGAAUGGCUGGAGAUGAUUGUAGAUCUUUGAUUGUCACACGCCCAGCCUCUACCCUGAAGGUGCUCUAGUUACCUAUUCCCUCAACCCUUCUGAUGAUCAGGAAGACAGUUGUCUCCUGUGGAGAGACCACAUGAUCUCAGUGUGGACCAGUGUGGAUUGGAUGCCCAUUCUGUCUUCAGCUCCUCCCUAGGAGACUGGGUUCUGGUGAAUUUCCAGCUUGAUGGCUUAAUCAGAUAUGAACACAACAGCCCUUUGUUGGUUUCCAGUGUCUGAGUAUCUGAGAAAUAAAUAUAUCCUUUACA
rnacentral:sRNA from 1 species